rnacentral:rRNA from 1 species
AUUGAACGCUGGCGGCAGGCCUAACACAUGCAAGUCGAACGAGUGGCGGACGGGUGAGUAAUGUCUGGGAAACCGCCUGAUGGAGGGGGAUAACUACUGGAAACGGUAGCUAAUACCGCAUACCAUCAGAUGUGCCCAGAUGGGAUUAGCUAGUUGGUGGGGUAAGGGCUCACCAAGGCCACGAUCCCUAGCUGGUCUGAGAGGAUGAACGGCCACAAUGGGACUGAGACACGGUCCAGACUCCUACGGGAGGCAGCAGUGGGGAAUAUUGCACAAUGGACGCAAGCCUGAUGCAGCCAUGCCGCGUGUAUGAAGAAGGCCUUCGGGUCGUAAAGUACUUUUAGCGGAGAGGCGUUACCCGCAGAAGAAGCACCGGCUAACUCCGUGCCAGCAGCCGCGGUAAUAC